rnacentral:rRNA from 1 species
AAAUUGAAGAGUUUGAUCAUGGCUCAGAUUGAACGCUGGCGGCAGGCCUAACACAUGCAAGUCGAACGGUAACAGGAAGCAGCUUGCUGCUUCGCUGACAAGUGGCGGACGGGUGAGUAAUGUCUGGGAAACUGCCUGAUGGAGGGGGAUAACUACUGGAAACGGUGGCUAAUACCGCAUGACGUCGCAAGACCAAAGAGGGGGACCUUCGGGCCUCUUGCCAUCAGAUGUGCCCAGAUGGGAUUAGCUUGUUGGUGAGGUAACGGCUCACCAAGGCGACGAUCCCUAGCUGGUCUGAGAGGAUGACCAGCCACACUGGAACUGAGACACGGUCCAGACUCCUACGGGAGGCAGCAGUGGGGAAUAUUGCACAAUGGGCGCAAGCCUGAUGCAGCCAUGCCGCGUGUAUGAAGAAGGCCUUCGGGUUGUAAAGUACUUUCAGCGGGGAGGAAGGUGUUG